GAUGAACGCUGGCGGCGUGCCUAAUACAUGCAAGUCGAGCGAACAGAUGAGGAGCUUGCUCCUCUGACGUUAGCGGCGGACGGGUGAGUAACACGUGGAUAACCUACCUAUAAGACUGGGAUAACUUCGGGACACCGGCGCUAAUACCGGAUAAUAUAUUGAACCGCAUGGUUCAAUAGUGAAAGACGGCUUUGCUGUCACUAAUAGAUGGAUCUGCGCCGCAUUAGCUAGUUGGUAAGGUAACGGCUUACCAAGGCAACGAUGCGUAGCCGACCUGAGAGGGUGAUCGGCCACACUGGAACGGGGACGCGGUCCAGACGCCUGCGGGAGGCAGCAGUAGGGAAUCUUCCGCAAUGGGCGGAAGCCUGACGGAGCAACGCCGCGUGAGUGAUGAAGGUCUUCGGAUCGUAAAACUCUGUUAUGAGGGAAGAACAGAUGUGUAAGGAACUAUGCACGUCUUGACGGUACCUAAUCAGAAAGCCCCGGCUAACUACGUG
rnacentral:rRNA from 1 species